rnacentral:tRNA from 1 species
GAAAUAGAAAUCAAGAUUAAGCUUCUAACUUAAAUCUUUAGCAAUGAAAUUUGUUAAUAUUUCU